UGAAUUUAGCCAUCAAGGAUAAUGAUAACAAUGGCUAAAAUUUCCUGAGUGCUUACCAUAUGUCAGGCACUAUUUUAGGAACUUUACAUGUACCAUCUUAGUCCCUAAAUCAGCCCUAGGAAGUAGGUGCUACUAUUAUUGCCACUUAAAGAGGAGGAAAUGUAAGCACAGAAAGGAUAACUAAACUUCUUCGAGUCACACAGCUAGUAAGUGGUGGGCCCAGGAUGCUAACCCAGGAGGUCUGGCUCCAGAGGCAAUGCUCUACCUGCUGUGCCCCACUGCCUUCUUCCUUGGGGUUCUGUGAAUGAGGUGGUCCAGGGGCCUGUUAUGGCUAGGCAGGAUGGGGUCUGGUCCCUCAGAUUGUAAGGGAAGGCUGGCCUCUGUCCUGGGCCUCACUAGAGAUCCUCUCAGUGGAUACCCACGUAGAAGAUCUGGAUUGUGGUUGCAGCCCUGGCACCUGGUUAACAACCCCUGCUCUCUGGGACGGCAGCCGGGUCCCUGGGGCUGUCCUGUCUUUGUGACCCAGUCAAAGUUAGAGUCAACUCUUUGUCCCCAUUUUCUGUUUCACACCUGCCAAGCAAAAACCCCAUCCCCUGGACACUCUGUCAAUGUUCCACCUACAGACCUCUUCUGGUCCCUGGGGUCUGUUCCUUGAUUUCCUUACCGCCUCCUGGCUCCUGGGCAGAAUUACUUUUCUCCUAGGGACUAUUUGCUACUUGUGCGGCUAUGAUGGAGACAGUCCCAAGUGCAACCCUGUUUCAAGAUUUGUGGAAAUUCAAAUACUUUCCACCCCAUCCUGCCCUGAGUCAAAGAGAAACUACCAUCACCACUCACCCCAAAACCGGGGGUCGGGACAGCACGGCCUCUUCAAUAACUGGUGCUGGGCCAGCUGGACAUGCAUCUGGAAAAAACGCCAACUCCAACCUAACACCAUACACAAAGGUAUGAGCUGUAUUUCCAAACCACUCACUUAUGAUCUGCCACAGGAGAUUUAGUGUUCUGGAAAAGACUCCUGAGAUAAACAGCCCUUGAACUUCGAUGAAAAGACCCUUAGAAGGAUCCAGGGCCGGCUCCAUCCACUGGGCUCUGAGGAAUGCCAUUACUUGUCCCCAGGCCUCCGUGGGACCCUCCAGGCAGCUCACUGAGGCGCAGGACCUAUUGUUUCUCUCAGGACUGGCCCUGUGGCUGCAGCCAAUAGCCGGUCACCCGUCCCUCACUUCUUCCCUGGCUCUGAGCCACAGCCUUCUUCCUCUUCUCUGACGGAAACAAAAAAAGCAAGGGGG
rnacentral:lncRNA from 1 species